UACGUAGGGUGCAAGCGUUGUCCGGAAUUAUUGGGCGUAAAGAGCUCGUAGGCGGUCUGUCGCGUCUGCUGUGAAAACUCAGGGCUUAACCCUGAGCUUGCAGUGGGUACGGGCAGACUAGAGUGCGGUAGGGGAGACUGGAAUUCCUGGUGUAGCGGUGAAAUGCGCAGAUAUCGAGAGGAACACCUGCGGCGAAGGCGGGGGGCUGGGCCGACACUGACGCUGAUGCGCGAAAGCCAGGGGAGCGAACGGG
rnacentral:rRNA from 1 species